AAGUCGUAACAAGGUUUCCGUAGGUGAACCUGCGGAAGGAUCAUUAGUGAAUAGGCGACUCGUUUGAGUCUGCCGACCUCUCACUUCUUAUCAUCUGUGAAACCGGUCCUUUUUUAUUAUACGCUGUGAUGUAUGUAACACUAUACAAACGUAAAACAA
rnacentral:misc_RNA from 1 species